AUGCAGGCCCACAAGUUGCCUGAGGGCUUGUUGUUGGGUGGGGCCAGUCUCUAGGGUGGGCUGCCUACCCUGGCUGAGCUGGAUUAAAUCGGUGCUCUAGCGAGUGGGGCAGACCCUGGGCUAGCAGGCCUCAGGGAGAACUCCAAUGGCGUCUGUGUCAGCAUGCCCACACCAGGCCACAACAAUGGUCGCCACCAAUGUCCCAGUCCCUGGAGAGGUCUCACUUCUCACCGAGAUGCACUCAGGGCCUAUUAGAAUCUCAAUCUGCUAUUUUGGAAACUCUGAAAAAAAUGUUCAAAUGCUGUUCAACAGCCUGCAGGGGAAUCCAGUCAGGUGGAAGGGGCUGUUCUCUUCCACUUAGACUUUGCAGAGAAAAUCAGCCUUGAAGUGGAACUGAGCACAUGUUUUUCAGAAGCUGCAUCAUUCUCUACCCAGCCAGAGCAUUGGGCCUGACAACAGCUGGAUCCAGCAGGAAACUGGCCACUCUAGGAGAUGUCAU